rnacentral:rRNA from 1 species
UACGAAGGGGGCUAGCGUUGCUCGGAAUCACUGGGCGUAAAGCGCACGUAGGCGGCUUUUUAAGUCAGGGGUGAAAUCCUGGAGCUCAACUCCAGAACUGCCUUUGAUACUGGGAAGCUUGAGUCCGGGAGAGGUGAGUGGAACUCCGAGUGUAGAGGUGAAAUACGUAGAGAUUGGGAAGAACACCAGUGGCGAAGGCGGCUAUCUGGACGGUUUCUGACACUAAGACACGAAAGCGUGGGGAGCAAACAGG